AUCCUAUGGUGAGGACACUAUCUCUGCAAUUCCUUGAACCUCUCCUAAACUUCAUCCAACAUCUCAUCAUCUUUCUGGUAGAAAGUAUUCAUCUUAUUUCUCAGUUU